AAAAAUCUUUUAGUGUUGCUUUAAAGACACUCAUCCAGCAGUUACCUGUACUCUGCUGGUUUGACUCCAAGGUGCGAUCUGGUCACUGUAGCUCACCAUAGUUUUCUUUUAAGUGCAAUUAGUGUUUCAAGAAACAAGUUAGGGUACAAAUAUACUUUACCUUCCUGGUCAAAUAAAUUCUGGAUCUGACAACUUAUCUUGUCACUUCUUCUUCUAGCCUGACUUGGACACCUUCUGUAAUUCCACAUCAUUAUAAAUGAAACUCACACUAUAAACUUGAAUUAAUCAAGUGGAACUUUAACCAUUUACUUUUGGGAGAAUAUUACUAAUAUUCAAACAUCUGUUGAAACGU